rnacentral:rRNA from 1 species
UACGUAGGGUGCAAGCGUUGUCCGGAAUUAUUGGGCGUAAAGAGCUCGUAGGCGGUUCGUCGCGUCGAAUGUGAAAACCCGGGGCUCAACUCCGGGCCUGCAUUCGAUACGGGCGGACUAGAGUUCGGUAGGGGAGACUGGAAUUCCUGGUGUAGCGGUGAAAUGCGCAGAUAUCAGGAGGAACACCGGCGGCGAAGGCGGGUCUCUGGGCCGAUACUGACGCUGAGGAGCGAAAGCGUGGGGAGCAAACAGG